rnacentral:rRNA from 1 species
CGGAGGUGGCAAGCGUUGUUCGGAAUUACUGGGCGUAAAGGGCGCGUAGGCGGCAAGGCAAGUCAGGUGUGAAAGCCCCGGGCUUAACCCGGGAAUUGCAUCUGAAACUGCUGUGCUUGAGUUCUGGAGGGGGUAGUGGAAUUCCCAGCGUAGCGGUGAAAUGCGUAGAUAUUGGGAGGAACACCUGCGGCGAAGGCGGCUACCUGGACAGAAACUGACGCUGAGGCGCGAAAGCUAGGGGAGCGAACGGGAUUAGAUACCCCGGUAGUCCUAGCUGUAAACGAUGGGCACUUGGUGUUGGGGGUAUUGAGUCCCCCAGUGCCGGAGUUAACACGUUAAGUGCCCCGCCUGGGGAGUACGGUCGCAAGACUG